CUACGGGGGGCAGCAGCCGCGAAACCUUUACAAUGCACGAAAGUGUGAUAAGGGAAUCCCAAGUGCUUACCUUCUGGGUAGGCUUUUGUUAAGUGUAAAUAUCUUAACGAAUAAGUGGUGGGUAAGACCGGUGCCAGCCGCCGCGGUAACACCGGCGCCACGAGUGGCGAUCAUUUUUAUUGGGUCUAAAGCGUCCGUAGCUGAUUCAUUAAAUCCUUUGUGAAAUUGUUAAGCUCAACUUAACACUGUGCAAAGGACACUAGUGAGUUAGAGACCGGGAGGAGAUGAGAGAACUUUUUGGGAAGUGGUAAAAUACUAUAAUCCAAAGGGGACUACCAGUGGUGAAGACGCUCAUCUAGAACGGGUCUGACAGUGAGGGACGAAGGCCAGGGGAGCAAAUGGGAUUAGAUACCCCAGUAGUC
rnacentral:rRNA from 1 species